rnacentral:rRNA from 1 species
AGCCGCGGUAAUACGUAGGUGGCGAGCGUUAUCCGGAAUUAUUGGGCGUAAAGCGUGAGUAGGUGGCAUAUUAAGUCUAUAGUAAAAGCCUGUGGCUCAACCACAGGAUGCUAAGGAAACUGAUAAGCUAGAGUACGGGAGAGGUUAAUGGAAUUCCAUGUGUAGCGGUGAAAUGCGUAGAGAUAUGGAGGAACACCAGUGGCGAAGGCGGUUAACUGGUCCGAGACUGACACUGAGUCACGAAAGCGUGGGGAGCAAAUAGGAUUAGAUACCCUAGUAGUCCACGCCGUAAACGAUGAGUACUAAGUGUUGGAGAAAUUCAGUGCUGAAGUAAACAUAAUAAGUACUCCGCCUGAGUAGUACGUUCGCAAGAAUGAAACUCAAAGGAAUUGACGGGACCCCGCACAAGCGGUGGAGCAUGUGGUUUAAUUCGAAGCAACGCGAAGAACCUUACCAGGGCUUGACAUGGCAUUAAAAGGUUAAGAGAUUAACAAAUAGUUAUAGUGCACACAGGAGGUGCAUGGCC